rnacentral:rRNA from 1 species
ACAUUAGAGUUACCAAAGUGCGACGUAGUCGCAACAGUUGGGAAGCUGUGCCAUAGAGGGUGAAAGCCCCGUAGACGAAACGUCACACUCUCUGUUCAGGAUCCUGAGUACGGCGGGACACGUGAAACCCCGUCGGAACCCGCGAGGACCAUCUCGCAAGGCUAAAUACUCCCUAGUGACCGAUAGUGAACCAGUACCGUGAGGGAAAGGUGAAAAGCACCCCGGAAGGGGAGUGAAAUAGUUCCUGAAACCA